GUGUCUUUCAGAAAUCAGAGCCUCAUUCCCUUAGUAGUGAAGCAUUGAUGAGGAGAGCAGUGUCUUUGGUAACAGAUAGCACCUCUACCUUUCUCUCUCAGACCACAUAUGCGUUGAUUGAAGCUAUUACUGAAUAUACUAAGGUAUGUCUCCUCUUAACUCUUGAUCUUCUAAACCAUGGUUUAGCAAAUAAUGGCUCACAACCAAAUUGUGUCUGAUACCCAUGUUGGUAUUUGAUUGAAACAUAGCCAGGCCUAUUUGUUUAUGUGUUGUCAAUAACGGUUUUUGAGGAUUUGAGUAGUUUCAACAGAGGCUGUAAGGCCCACAAAGCCCAAAAUAUUUACUGUCAGGCCCUUCAAAAAGUUUGCUGAGCCCUGAUCUAAAUCACUCGUUUUUAGACUUUUCCCAGGAACCUUUUUUUUUUUUUUUACAGAAAAAUCUUAAAUGUGGCAGCCUAGUAUAUAAAACAGGAGUGAAGCUGAUAUGGUUCAGUUAAGGGCACAGGGGCCUGUGGUCCAUCAACAGAGGUUGCUCUGUGAGGAUUAUUUAAAAGCCACUGAUCUAACCUAAUAGAAAAGAGAGUAUAUGGGCCAGGCGUGGUGGCUCACAUCUGUAAUCCCAGCAGUUUGGGAGGCCAAGGCGGGAGGAUCACUUGGGGCCAGGAGUUCAAGACCAACCCAGUCAAUGUAGCAAGCCCCAUCUCUAGCAGAAAAAAAAUUUUAAACUUAGCCAGGCAUGGUGUGUUGUGUGCCUGUAGUCCCAGUUACUCCAGGGGCUGAGGUGGGAGGAUCACUUGAGUCUAGGAGUUUGAGAUUACAGUGAGCUAUGAACAUGCCAGUGCACUUCCGUCUGGGUGACAUAGCAUCCUGUUUGUAAAAAAUAAUAAAUUUUUUUUUUUGAGAUGGAGUCUUGCUUACGCAGGCUGGAGUGCAGUGGAGUGAUGUCAGCUCGCUGCAAUCUCCGCCUCCUGGGUUCAAGCGAUUUUCCUUCCUCAGCCUCCUGAGUAGCUGGGAUUACAGGUGUGUGCCACCAUGCCCGGCUAAUUUUUUUGUAUUUUUAGUAGAGACGGGGUUUUGCCAUGUUGGCCAAGCUGGUCUCGAACUCCUGACUUCAGGUGAUCCACGUGUCUUAGCCUCCCAAAGUGCUAGGAUUACAGGCAUGAGCCACUGCACCCGGCCAAUAAAAAUUUUUUAGCGUAUAUGGAUAAUCAAAAGUAUUGAAGUCUCAUUUGUGCAUUUGUUUUACAUAUAUUUUCCAGCAGCUUUUUUCCCCUCAACCUUUAAAGUUUUCCCUUGCAUUGUUUUCUCUUUCUGUGUCUGAAUUGCUGACAAGCUUUUAAAAACACAGAAGUUUACAGAUGGAGAUACUAAUGUCCUGAUACCUUUACUUCAUAGGAUAAUAGUGCAAUUUCAUUGAGGCAGCAGGAUGGAAGAGCCAGUUUGCUGUAAUGGGACUUAAUUUCCUUGAGGUGGAAAUCUCUCUAUUCCUUCUGAUAUGUCUCACUUACUUUACUCAGACUUGUUCAUUCUCUAUUUGUAGGCUGUUUAUACCUUAACUUCUCUUUACCGACAAUAUACAAGUUUACUUGGGAAAAUGAAUUCAGAGGAGGAAGAUGAAGUGUGGCAGGUGAUCAUAGGAGCCAGAGCUGAGAUGACUUCAAAACACCAAGAGUACUUGAAGCUGGAAACCACUUGGAUGACUGCAGUUGGUCUUUCAGAGAUGGCAGCAGAAGCUGCAUAUCAAACUGGUAGGUUCAAGUUUUGUGUUGGGUUUUUUUUUUAAUUUUUUAACUAGGAAGGUACCAUUUGAGUUUUCAUCUGGUUUUCUAAAAUGAGGGCUUUAUAGUAAAUGGUCUAAGUGGCUCUCACUUUGAGAAAUUUUCCCCAUUUCCUACAUAUUAACCUACAUUUUAUUUGCACAAUAGAAACAAUGAGCAUACCCUUGCAGACCAGACCAGUAGAAGCUAGGUUAUGUCUUCAAAAUGAAAAAUGAUAAAACUAUUACCAUUGGAAAAUUGGAUUGCUUCCAAAUAGUUUUAGCUUCUUUUGGUAAUACAAUUUAUUAACAAUCAUAGAAUUACACCGUUGGCUGAGACUUGAGAUGAGUAAUCUAUGUGAACCUUUUUGUACAGAUGGAGAAAAUGAGA
rnacentral:lncRNA from 10 species